ACUCGAAAAGGAUGGUUAGUUACCGACAUUUAAGGUUGUGUUUUAUCUCUCUCUCUCUCUCUCUCUCUCUCUAUAUAUAUAUAUAUAUAUAUAUAUAUAUAUAUAUAUAUAUAUAUAUGAUGUGUGUGUUGACAGACUAAUGCAACGGAAACUGUGCGGAAGCCAGUCGUGUAUGUGGAUAUGUCCGUCGGUGUGUUUGUUCCGCACCGUUUUGGUAACGUGGGUCGAUUUGUUUUCGCCAUCCAUAGCUUAGUAGUUUCGGUUAGUCUCAUACAAUAAGCAGCGGGGUUAACUUAAAACUAAUGGGGCCGACUCGAUCGAAUGAAUUUUACAAGUGUGAUGCCUCAGUCCUACGAUUGAAACAAAUGAAGGAAGAAAAAGAAAAAAACAGGCAUAGCUGUGUGGUAAGAAGCUUGCUUACCAACCACGUGGUUCCGGCUUCUGUCCCACUGCGUGCACCUUGGGCAACCCCAAACCAACCAAAGCUUUGAACUGAAAGAAACCUGUUGUAUAAUGCGCGUAUAUAUAUAUAUAUAUAUAUAUAUAUAUAUAUAUAUAUAUAUAUAAUCUGUGUUUGUUCCUCCAUUAUCACUUGACAACCUACGUCCCACGCAACUUAGCGGUUCGGCAAAAAAUAACGAUAGAAUUAAGUACUGGGCUUAAAAAAGAAGUCCUGGGGUUGAUUUGUUCGACUAAAAUUUUAAAAAACCCUUCAAGGAGGUGCUCCACUCAAAUGGCUAAAACAAUAAUAUGAAUAUGGGCGUGGUUGAGAAGCUCGCAGCAUCUUGGGCAAGUGCUUUCAAGUACUAUAACCCCGGGCUGACCAACAAGCCUUGCGAGUGAAUUUAGUAGACAGAAACGGUGUGGAAGCCCGUCAUCUAUAUACAUGUGUGUGAGUUUCUGUGUUUACCGAUGUUUAUUUCGAAUCACAGACAAUUACACCCCAUAGGAUAAUUCCCCACCCCACCCUCGACGACAACUACUCCCUUGGACAAUUAUUCCCGUUGGUUAAUUACCCCCUCUCUAAUAUUAAGAAGUUUUAAAUCAUCAUCUGUUAUCCAUGGGGUGGGGGUAAAUGUUCUAGAGUCGGGUUUAUUUGCUUUUUUUUAUAUUCCCAAAAUUUAGCGAUUCGGUAAAAGUGACCAAUAGAAUAAGCACCAAACUUGAAGUAGUUUUGUGGAAUUGUUCGACUGAAACCUUUCAAGGUGGUGCCCCAGCAUGGCUGCAGUCCAAUGACUGAAAUUAGUUAAACAUAAAAGAUAUAUAUAUAUAUAUAUAUAUUAGUUAAUCAUAUUCAUUUGUUAUGCUUUUUCUUUUCGUUCUUAGUUCAAAUCCCGCCAUGGUCAAACUUCGCCUUGCAUUUCUUGAUAUGUCGACUAAUCCUUACUCUCAAAAUUCUUGGCACAGAAACGAUUAUUAUUAUUUGUCAGAAUCGUUAAGAUCGCCCAAAGAAAUAUGCUGUAUCGUUUCGGCCCUUUUCAAAUCGUGCCGAAGUCAACUUUGCCUUUCAUCUUUUUUUGUGGGGACCGGUAGAUAAAGUAUCAGUCAUGUACUAGGCUGAUGGUAUUGACUACUCCCACCUCCAAAUUGUUAGUCUUGUACCUAACUUAGAAAUCAUAAUCAUUAUUAUUUAUGGUGUUUUCUCGAAUUACCACCCUUGGUGUACUCAUCCCAACUUUUGGAAAUUAUCUUUAUGAUUUGUGUUUUCAUGGUUUUUGUUAUAAUUUUUAUUGUUAUUGUGUAUAUUUUGUCUUUUGGUGUUGCCCUCAGUGCCUUGGGUCCUUGUGGCCAACGAAAGAAAUCAUCAAUUGACAGAAUCGCUGGCGCGUUUCUUUCUAUUCCGAGUCGAAAUUCCAUCGAAGUCGACUUUGCCUUUCAACCUUUCAGGGUCGAUAAAAUAAGGUACUAGUCAAGUAGUGGAGUAGAUGUAAUCGAUUCACCCCACUCCGGCCUCUAAGAUUGUUGGCCUUUUGCCAAAGUUUGAAACCAUUAUCAUCAUCAUCGGCACGAUGCAUUUGACUGAAUCUUUGGAUACGUUCCUUUCCACUUCCGGAUCUCCUCUUUUGAGGUAGGGUUUUUUUUUUGUACAUGAGAAUGGAGAAAAACUUGGUGUGUAAGAGGCGUCAAACGGUUCGUUAAAACAGCGUUUGACUCUUAUAAUCUAUUAUAUAAAAUCCGUUCUGUCUGUGUGUGUGUCUUCUAGGAUCUCGGGCAUUCUCCAUCCGAUUGCGCUCAAAUUUGAUAUGUAGAUACCGACGUGUAUAAGUCUUGAAAAAAUUACAAAAAUCGAUUCCAGGUGAGAAUGCGAUCGAUAAAGCCGUAGGAACGUGCACCGUCCAUUGGACGGGGGGGGGGGCAUUUUGCUCGUAAAUUAUAAUGAAUCAGCUAUCUGCUGUCUCAGUAUUAAUAAUGUCAUAUUGUUACAAUUACUUCAAUACCUGGAGGUAUUGUGGCGUAUGCGUGUUUGUGUACUGAUAUGUAGCUAUGAAUAUAUGUAUAUACAUCGGUAUGUAUGUGUGGACUUAUGUAUAUUUGUACGUACAUAUGCAUAAUACACACAAUUGCGCGCACUCUUACGUGUAUGUAUACACAUAAAUGCAUACAUAUAUUGAUGUAUAUACAUCGUUAUUACAUAUGUACUCGCUAAACAUGUUUGAAUUACCUGUGCAACUGAUACAUUACCUAUUUUCACGACUCUUUUCAUUUUACGUUUUAAGUCUUUUUUUUUUUCUUUCUUCAUAUGCUUUUUGCCCAAUCAGUAAAAGUUUCUUUUUUCCUUUUCAAGUUAUUUUUUUAUUGGUACUAUGUAGUAGUUUUCAUUAUACGUUUAAUCGUUUUGCUUCUGAAAUAUCUCUCACAAUAAUUCAAAUAUAUAUUGUGUGCGUUGGAAGAGUUCUCUUAAAGGCUAAUGAAGAUUUCUGAGUGCAGCCAUUUUAAAUUGUUAGUUUUAUGCGUCAUGUCUCUUUUCGAGUUGUUUUGUGUGUGUGUGUGUGUGUUUAAGUCACUGGACUGCAGCCAUACUACGACACCACCUCGAAGGGGUUUGGUCGAACAAAUCCACCCCAGUACUUAUUUUUAAGUUUGGUACUGAAUCUAUCGGGCCCUUUGACGAACUGCUAAGUUAUGAGGGUGUAUGUAAGCAAACCAAACACCUGUUGUCAAGCAAUGGGUGGGUGACUGCUUGGAAACACAUACAUAUAUAUAUAUAUAUAUAUAUAUAUAUAUAUAUAUAUAUAUAUAUAUGAUAGGUUUCCACACAUUUUCCGUCUACCAAAUUCGCUGAAAAGCAUUGGUCGGAUCGGGGCUAUAAUUGAAGACACUUGCCCAAUGUUCCGUUCAGUGGGACUGAAACCUGAAACCAUGCGGUUGCAAAGCGAGCUUUUAAUCACGCAACGAAAAUAUAAAAAUUAUAGGUGGAUAUCAUAUAGAGAGUAGUAUCGUAUGUCUAAAUAUAUGAAUUGUAUGGCCUUGUAGCCAUGUAGUAAAUAAUUACUUAAGCAAGUAAUGAAUGUUAUUCCAAAUAUGCCUUUUUUUUUAUUAUCUACUAGCAGUAUAGCCCGGCGUUGCUCGGGUUUGUUUGUUUUUCGACCCUUUAGAAUUGGAAUUUUUGAAAAGUAAAAUUUUUGCAUUAUGUAGCUUGUUAUUCUCUUUAAGUGAACAUUUUUCUGGUUGAAAUACACCGAAAAAUGGCGACACAGCAGUCAAAAAAUCGUAAAAAAUAGGGAUUUUCAUAGAAAAAAAGCGCCUUUUUGAUGUAAAUAAUUUUUGGUCCGAUUUGAAUUUUUUUCUUCUACGGAAUGAAGAGCAAGCCUUCUUCUAUCAUACUCUCAAUUUUGGCCAACUUGCGCCGCAGGAUCUCGGAGGAGAUAGUGUUAGUUGAAGGCUACCAAACCUGUCACACUCACACAUACAUACACACACACACAACUUCAGCUUUAUAUAUAUAGAUUAACUGACUUAUUUAUUUAUUUGUCGCUUGUGGAAUGGCAGUGCGCCAGACCGUUUUUCAUGGCCUCUCGUGAUCUAUGCCAGGAAGAUAUCCUGAAAACCAUAGGAUCUGUUGUGAAUGCUUUUCUAUCAGUAUCUCUUUUUGUUAAAAUAUAGUUGAAUAUAAAUUUAUGAUUGAUUGUUAAUUUACAAUUUCUAUCUUCUCGAUAUUUGCCUAUUUUUUUGCGAAGAAACUUAAUUUUCAAUUAACACAGUACGCAUUUGCAUUAAAAACAAUAUUUGUUUAUGAUUUGUACAGUGGAUAAAAGAGUUUUGCAUGUAUGUGGGUGGGGGGUGGGGGGUAUUACCGAAGAAAGCAUUUUUCUGUUGCUAAGCUUGUUUUUUAAAAAUAUAUUUAUUAAUAAUUUUAAAAGCCGUAUGAAAUUUAAGCUCGUGAGUCGAAUCUGAACGCAUGUAUUACGUGAUAUAGAGGAUAUCAUAAAGUGGUUUAGGAUAUUCGAUUCGUGGCGUAUGUCUUAGUAGGUGUAAAGUCGUAAAUUCAAUUCCCAGUGGCGCGUCGUGUCUUCGAGUGAAACACUUUAUUUCACAUUGUUUUAGUCCAGUCAGCCAGCAAAAAUGAAUAGUACCCGUAAUUCAAAGGACCCAGCCUUGUCACAUUCUGUGCCGCGCCGAAUCUCCCCGAGGACUACGUUAAGGGUACGCAUGUCUGUGGAGUGCUUAGCCACUUGCAUGUUCAUUUCACGAGCAGGCUGUUCUACUGAUCGGAUCAACUGGAACCCUCGUCGCCGUCGUAACCGACGGAAUGCCAUUCUGUGUGGCUUACAAGAGAUCGCAGGUGGAAUCCUUCUGCAGGUGAAGCAUACUAGCUAAGUGUCGAAACGUUUGUAAUCCUGAGGUACGUACUGAAGAUACGAAAGGGUUUCCAACAUUGUGAUAACUUUCAGGAGAUCACUUUCAGGAGAAGAGCUUACAAUAUCUCUUAGUGGGUCUCUUGUGCUUGCGUGCGUGUGUCGAUAUAUAUAUAUAUAUAUAUAUAUAUAUAUAUAUAUAUAUAUAUAUAUAUAUAUAUAUAUAUAUAUAUAUUGUGUGUGAGGGAGCGUGGCUUAGUGGUUAGGGCAUUCGGCUCAUGAUCGUAAGGUUGUGAGUUCGAUUCCCGGCGACGCGUUGUGUCCUUGAGCAAGACACUUUAUUUCACGUUGCUCCAGUCCACUCAGCUGGCAAAAAUGAGUUGUACUUGUAUUUCAAAGGGUCAGCCUUGUCACUCUCUGUGUCACGCUGAUUAUCCCCGAGAACUACGUUAAGGGUACACGUGUCUGUGGAAUGCUCAGCCAUUUGCACGUUAAUUUCACGAGCAAGCUGUUCCGUUGAUCGUAUCAGCUGGGACCCUCGUCGUCGUAACCGGCGGAGUCUUUUUUUUAGAUAUUUAUAUAUAUAGUCAAAGAAUCGCUUAUCAAUAUUUUUUAUUAUUUUUUUUUGUUCGCAAAAGUGUAAGACUACGGAACAAUUUAGUUAUGAAGAAUAUUUUUCUUGCCUUACUGGCAUGUAAAAUACCUCUCUUUCAAAUAAGCUAUUGAUUACAAAUAUUAAUUUUUGUCAAAAUAUUAGCUCUCGGUUUGACCAAACGCUAAGUUUCUUAGCAAAGAGAGGAUAUUGAUAGAUUGAACUGACUUCCAUUUGUUGUGGCUGGUAACGAUGGAAUCUUUGUGUGGUUGCUCAAGCUGCUAGAUAUAACAAGUAAAUCUCCCUUAACACUUUGCUUUCUAUUUUGGGAGCCACCAGUGAUUCCUAAAGGUGAUGUUUCUUUUAAGGAACCUCACGUUAGUGGUUCAGACUAGAUUAUUUAAAUUUUACGAAAUGUAUACAGUAUAUUUUCCUUUGUAUUUCUCUGAUGGUUUUCAAUUCAAAUCAAUAGAAACCGAGGUGGGACCUGGUUAAAAAAAAGCAGGAUAAAUAAAUGUGUGUCUGUGUUAAAAGAGAGACACAGAGAGCGUGAGAGAGAACUACUACGUAUAACAACAGCCAGCCAAUCAACCAACCAACCAACCAAACACACAAGCAAACAAACAAAUUGUGUAGUUAUCAAAUUAAAACGUUUAUUUUCAGAACAUUACUAUUGAUGGUGUCGCAAGCUUCAACAGCAGUUCUUUUCCCAAAUAUACUAUCUCUAAAAUAAAUUGAUAAGUGUUGGUGGUGGUAAUAGUAGUAGCCAUUUUGAGAUGUGUGUGAGAAAGAAAGAGAGUGUGUGUGAUAGAUCGCUAGCCACUACACAUUCUUUAUUUUCUCUCCUUGUUUCUUUCUGUGGAAGAGCGUAGGCUCGAAACGUUAAAGACUUUUUCACUUCCCAAGCGUUAUGCUAAUACAUCUGUUUGUUGUCUACACCACCUGUCUUCGUCUUUUGUUUUUGGGGUUUUUUUGUGAAUUAUCCCUAUAUAUAUAUAUAUAUAUAUAUAUAUAUAUAUAUAUAUAUGAGAGAGAGAGAGAGAGAGAGAGAGUCAUAUCCCUUUUACAACAUUUCUACCACUGUGGUCGGUAAAAUAAAUUUUAGACGAUAUGAUCAACCAGAUAUACUCUUGAAAGCCGUACCCCCAGCAUGUCCUUAGUUGUAUCGAUUGAAACCGAUUAAAGAACAGAUUUAGUUUAUUAUUCGUUUCUAAUAAACUAAGCAGAUGAAAUAGUUCUGUUUUAAAUUUAUUUUAGAAUCGUUAGAGUGUCGGUAUUUAGUACGUUUUUCUUUUUUUACGUUCUGAUUUCAAAUCCUGCUGAGCUCAACUUUGCUUUUCAUCCCUCUGGAGUCGAUAAAAUUGAUGCACCAGUUGUGAAAAUAAUCGAUAACCUAUCUCACCCCUCUGUUGCUGGCCUUGUGCCUGAAUUUGAAACCAUUAUUAUUAAAAGACAUUUGUGCAAGUGGGACUGCACAAGUAACCACGUAGUUGCAAAGCGAUCUUCUUAACCAACUACACAGUCAUAAAUGCGCCUAUGAUUGUGUAUAAUACUUAAAAUGUUGGCAUAGAAAAGCAAACAAUAUGGUCUUUGAAACCAUCUAUGAUUGUUACAGUACGACUACAUUGUUAAAGCUUUAACCGUUUAGCAGUUAUAACCAGCCAUGUCCGGCCAAAACGUUCUCUCUGUUUCAUGUUCAAACAGACCAGAUCUGACCCCUCACACCAACCCUACAAUAUUAUCGUUCUGAAAAUUAAGUUAGCUCAUCAAAAUAUCAAAGCUGCAAAAUAGUGCAUGAUUCAUUCAAAAUGUUGUGGAAUAAAAUAGGCAUUAUAUUUGACAGAAAUCUGAAUGCUGAAAUGUUAACAAAAUGCAUAAAACGUUAUACUACGUUCGUUCCCUUGCAAGGAAAAAUUGGAUAUGAAGUUGAGCCUAGAGCCUCUGUGAAUGACACUGUAGUUGCUCCAUUGAGCUGUAGAUUCAAUUAUAAAAGUAUAAGUAUAGACGUGGUUGUGGUGUCAAAUUCGCUUCAUAACCGCGCGGUUUCGAGUUCAGUGUCAUCAGUGUGGAUGGUAUCUUGGGCAACUGUCUUUUCGGGUUCACAAAUACUUUGAAAGACAUUUGGUAGAAGGAAACUAUUCAUAACCAUGUUGUAUAUAUCUAUGCGAGUGCACGCCCAUACACACAUUCUUGUAUUUAUUUAAGUUUACAUAGGUAAAAAAAAAUGGUAUUGUUGUUUCUUUCUUGUAAUUUAUUGUUACGCAAGAAGAAAAUGAUAAAAUAUUGGUGUCAGUAUAAUCGACUAAACUCCUGAAGGUUGGUAUUCGUCCAACAUCCAAUAAUUGAAUGAAUGACUAAAACCAGAGAAACACGAAGGGCAGGCAUUGCUGUGUGAUAAGAAGCUUGCUUCCCAACUACAUGGUUCUGGGUUCAGUCCCACUGAGUGACUCCUUGAGCAAGUGUCUCUGCUAGAGCUUCGAGCCGACCAAAACCUUAUGAGUGGAUCUGGUAGAUGGAAACGGAAAGAAGCCUGUUGUGUGUGUGUGUGUCUUUGUGUCUGGGUUUGUCCCUCCACCACCGUUUGACAACCGCUGUUGGUAUGUUUACGUCCCUGUAACUUAGCUGUUCGGCAAAGUAUACCGAUAGAAUAAGUAUUAGGCCUAAAAAAUUAGUCCUGGGAUCGAUUUGUCCGACUAAAAACCUUUCAAGGCGAUGCACCAGUAUGGCCGAGGUCAAAUGACCAAAAAAAGUAAAAGUUAUAUAUAUAUAUAUAUAUAUAUAUUGAAAAAGACUUUUGUUACUCUUUGGCGUUGAUUUUUGCAAAAAAAAAACGUAAAUGUAAACUGAAGAUUAAAACUGACUUGCUGACGUAAUUAGUAAGAAUUCAUUACACAGUAAGUCACUGUGUUUCAGUUAUUUUCAAUAAAAGUGCAAAGAAACUUUGCUAAAGCUACAAAUCCCUUUUAGAAAGAACCCCAUGUAGUUUUUUUUUUCUUUUCUUUUCUGUCUUAACUUUCUAUCAAUAUUGCUUUCUUGAAAAUUUCUCACUUUUAGGAUUCCUUCUUUCCCUCAAUUUUAAAGAUUGGAAUCGUUGCUCGUUAUGUUGUUCAGCCCCGGAUCGGCUCUGGUUAAACAAACUUGUGCUAACUCUAGUCUUCCUCUAUAAUUCCAUUCACAUCUAGAGUGCAUAUAUAUAUAUUCUCCCCCCGCUCUCUCUCUCUCUCUCUCUCUCUCUCUCUCUCUCUCUCUCUCUCUCUCUCUCUCUGUAUAUGUCUGUAUGUGUGUGUGUAUCGUUGGCGAUUUUCUUUCUCCGUCUUUACUUCUUUGGACUUUUUCUCUUUUUUUUCUAUAUUUCUGACGAAGAGCUCCGCUCGAAACGUUAAAUCCUCCUUUGUUUCCUUUCCUGAGCGUCUAAUAACACUAUACUUACUCCACGUCCUCGCGUUGUUGUGUUUUCUCUUUGUUCAUGUUUGGAUUAACUAUAUAUAAUAUAUAUAUAUAUAUAUAUAUAUAUAUAUAUAUAUAUAUAUAUAUAUAUAUAUAUAAGACCAACAAAUUGUUUCGGCUUGUAUAUAUUUUUUUCUGAUAUACAUAAUCACAGUUCCAUUAUAUAUAUAAUCACUCCAGGGUCCUUAGUUCAGAAAGACGAAAUUCCGUGUGAAAGGACGGCUGGAUUGUAAAAAUUAAUUCAAAUGUUUUUUGUUGUGAGCGUUAACAAUGGACGAUACAAUCAAGUGCAAUCCACAACCAUCGAAACUCACUCAUUAUAUCUCAAACACAUAUCAGUCGAAUCCCUUUUAUGUCCAAGACAGUUUCUCAUUAUCACAACAUACAUCAAUAAUAUAUGUGUGUCUAUAAAUAUAUAUAAUUAAGUAUCUAAGUUUUCUCCUACGUGUAACUGCGACAAAAAAUAUAUAAACGAUUACAUCUUCAAUACAACAACUCUUUUAUCUAUUUUAAUUAGUUGGUAUUAAAAAAAUUAUUGUUUAAAUUAACUAAUAAUAAUCUUCUAUAUUAAUAUCUACUACGGAAUCAUCCCUCCGAAAAAAUCUUUAUAUAUAAAAGAGAAGUUGUGUGUCUGUCUCCUACGAUUUAGAUUCCUAACUACUCCCACAUUUUGCGGUGCAGUUUAACCAAAACCGGGUAUCUUAUAGUCGUGAUUCAUAUCGAGCCCUUCUGGGUAUUAGCGCGCGUCUACGAUGAGUCUACGAUUUAAAAAAAAUUUACCGUAAUUUUUUUCCAUUUUAAUGCAUUUUUUCGCUAUUAUAUAAGGGAAGUAACUCUCUAAAAAUGUCUACGAUGAGUCAACGAUUUAAAAAAAUUUACCAUCAUUUGUUUUCCAUUUUUAAUGCAUUUUUUUUGCUAUUUUUUGGCUAUAACUCUCUAAAAAUGCUUAUAUAGUUAUUUCCCUUACAAAUCUGAGCAACGCCGGGCGAUACUGCUAGUAAUAAAUAUAGAAGAUUAUAAUUAGUUAAUUUAAACAAUAUUUUCUUUUUAUCCCAACUAAUUUGAAUGGAUAAGAAUUGUACUGAAGAUAUAAUUGUUUAUAUGUAUUUUUGGUGCGGUUAUACGUAGGAGAAGACUUAUUGUAUGUUGUGAAGACGAAAGACUGUCUUGGACAUGAAAGAGUCUCGGUGGUUGUGGAUAGUACUUGCUUGAUUGUAUCGUCCGUUGGGGGCGUUUUUGUUGCUUUUGAUUGUAACUGAUGUAAGAUUGAACAGCUAUCGCUCACGCUCAUAACACAGACAUUUGAAUUAAUUUUUAUAAUCCAGCCGUCCUUUCACACGGAAUUCCGUCUUACUAAACCAAGGACCCUGAACUGACUAUAUAUAUAUAUAUAAUGGGAAUUGUGAUUAUGUAUAUCAUAUAAAAUAUAUAUAAGUCGAAAUGAUUUGUUGGCCUUUUAUGGUUUUUAUAAUCAUUUAUAUAAUAUUAUGUUAUGUUAUAUAUUAUAUUCAUAGUAUUUAAUGUAAUAAUUGUAUAUAUAAAUAAAUUAUCGAAUUGUCAAUAGAAUUUUUCUGUAUUUAAUUUUAUUUAUCUUUAUAACUAUUCCAAUAUUUAUAUGAUAUCCAAAUGACGUACCAGUGAAUUGGAUGUUUAACACACUCCUUUGAAGGAUUUCUUUUCCUCAGUUUGUUACCUAUAUAUAUAUAUAUAUAUAUAUAUAUAUAUAUAUACACACACACCCUGUUAGCUGAUGAGAUUUGAAUAAGCUCAAUAUGGAUUGUACAGAAUGGUAGUCGAAUGAAUAUGAACGUAAAUUUCAACUUCUUCGUCUAGGGCAGUGGUCCUAAACGAGGCUCCAUAUGAGGGUGGAUCCAUAUAAGUUCUUUGGGGAUUCACGCAAGCAAAAUAGUAAAUUGGGGGCCACAGUUGUGUAUUAAAGGUCCAUGAGAAAAUGUUUCUUUGGCUGUAUUUAUUGCAAGAAGCAGCUUGGCUUCUUUGUAUGAUGUUUUCCAUAGUUCAACCUAAGCAAGUGAAUGUAUGGAAACCAAAAUAGGAAUUUCGAAAGAAGUAUCUAUAAGAUUAACUUUUAAACUUCAAGGGGCGAUAAAAGGUCCACCCGGGUAAAAUAGUAAUCAAAGGGGUCCAUAGAUAAAAAAAAAAAAAAUGGUUGAGUACCACUGGUGCUAGGGAAAGGCUCACGCCAUCGAGAGUGAUUAUAACAAAAGCCUAAAUCGAACGAUAGAAGUGGUAUAGUAGAUAAACACAAUAAGGUUUAAUUAAUAUAUUUUACAUGGAGCAGAAAAUGUAGAUUAUAAGAUAAAGAAAUAGGAGUGUGUGUGUGGUAAGUAGCUUGCUUACCAACCACAUGGUUCCGGGUUCAGUCCCACUGCGUGGCACUUUGGGCAAGUGUCUUCUACUAUAGUGGAUUUGGUAGACGGAAACUGAAAGAAGCCCGUCGUGUAUAUAUAUAUAUAUAUAUGUAUAUGUGUGUGUAUGUUUGUCCCCCAACAUGGCUUGACAACCGAUGCUGGUGCGUUUACGUCCCCGUCGAUUUGCUUGACUAAAGGCGGUGCUCCAGCAUGGCCACAGUCAAAUGGCCGAAAUAAGUAAAAGAGUAUAUAUAUAUAUAUAUAUAUAUAUAUAUAGAGAGAGAGAGAGAGAGAGAGAGAGGGAAUAUGUAAUAAGCAACUAAGUGAUGAAUAUUAUAUGUAUUAUAAUUAACAUAUUUACACACACAAUCGAUAGGACAGUUACUCCAGUAUUUAUCCUGAGGUAAUAUCUCGUAUGGAAUUGCAGUGCUAAAAACACAAUAGACACGAGAGAGAGAGAAGAGACGAAAAUUUAUCCCAGCAGCGGCCAACGGGAGUGCCAAUCGUAUUCCGGUUUUUUGAGCCUUUCCAAUGGCGCUUUCUCUCUCACUGCCAGCCACAUGCUCGGACGAGAAAUCGUCAUCUCUGAUAUUAGAAAACGGGAAUAAAACGUUUCUUGAUGUUGCGGAUGAUGAAAAAUAUAUCCGAGAGCAGGAGACUUAGUUUAUCAUAUUUCUCGUUAUAAACCUCCGUUUUAUUCUAUUCUCGGAGAUAUUCUAAGUUAUUCAACUGUGUAUAAUACCAAAAGAAAAUCGCAGGACAAAUUUUGUUUAAAUAUAUUAUUUGGAAUUUGGAUAAACAGGAAUUUUCAUGGACUUCUAAUCACAGUACCGGGCCAAUUAUCCGGUAAGUUUGGGACCGGAAAUAUCCCAGGUUUCUGAACUUUCUGGUUUCCUAGAGACAGUCUAAAUAUAUACAUAAAAUAUAAAAUAAAUUAUAAGAAGUAAACAGCGAAGUUGUGUUUAACAGAUUCAAAUUGAUACACUUCUAAAGCAGUAUCUCCUUGAUAAUUAUCAAUCCACUGAUAAUUCUUAUAUCAUACUGUACCAUGUAUAUUGGAUGAAAACAAAAGAGCAUGACUUUAUUUAACAGCUAGAGGUACAACUUAAUGAAUUCUAAAGUAUGUUUAAUCCUUAUCACUCCAUUUGAAAAAUAAGGAACGAAACUUUUUAACCAACUUCAGAAAUAGGAUAUGUUUACUCAAAACACUUCCUAGAUUUCUGGAAGCUAGGUAAGGGUUCAUGUACUGUUUUGCAAUUUUCCGAUGGCGGCAUGGAUUUCCACCUCGGCAUCCUCGCUAAGAUAAAUAUUUCAAUCACCUGAAGAUUGACUGUAACUCGAAUUUUUUACGAAUUGGACAGCCAUGAAACGAUCGUAGUGUUAUACUCAUUAUCUUUUUUUAAUAAUUUUGAUACAUAUUUAAAAUAAUAUAAAUUAAUUAAUCUUAUGUAUUGGCUUAAAUUUUUCAUUGUAUGAUUUGCCUAAUAGUGGUUUUAUCUCUAAUUUAAUUUAAUAUAAUAUAUAUAUCGUGUAUCCACCUAUCUAUCGGGUGUUGAUAUACAGUGCUGGUCACUACAGUUGUCACUUCUUUCUUAGUUGUGCCAUUCUUUUUUUAUCUUGGGGCCCAAAUCAUUAAACUAAAUCGUUUGCCCAUCGAUGUGAAUAUAAUAUAUAUGGGAGGAUGAUAUCAGUUAGUGUAUAUAGUAAAUGAGAUUCUAUUGUUUAAAUACGCAUCUAAUGUAGUAAGUAAAUUCCUCUUCCACUUCCAUGAAAAUUUACGGGAAUAAUUUUUACGUAUGUCCUUUUGUCGUUUUGUUUCUUUCGUCUUGGUUUUUCGUUUUAUUCUUUCUUUUCACUUUGUUGCAAUGUCUUAAUUUGUAUAAUUUUGUUGAAUAAUAAACAUCAGAUAUCUAUCUAUUAUAAGUCCUUUCCCCUAUAGGUGUCAAACCUGAAAUUUUUUAGAGGAGGGUCUAAUCGGUUGUCCUACGAAGAAAGGCUGAGGACGCUCGACCUUUAUUCUCUUGAAAAACGCCGCCGCCGUGGUGAUCUCAUUCUCGCCCACAACAUCAUAAGCGGAAAGUGUAACCUCUCGAAAGAGCUGUUCUUCACUCCUGCUCCAGAGCGUCGGCUGCGGGGUCAUUCCGAAAAGCUCUACCUGCGACGAUUUCAUCUCAAUCGAAGGAGAGGAGCUUUCUCCGUCCGGGUUGCGGAUCCGUGGAACAAGCUGCCAGACGAGAUGGUGAAGAUGCCGACGACCGCUUUGUUCAAAGCCUCCCUGGACCUCAAGUGGCCUGAACUCUUUACAUGAACACCACCCUGUACUUAACUCCAUGUCCCCCUACAUGGCCUUGCUAUUUGCUUUUGAGCCAAAUUAACUAACUAACUAACUAACUAACUAUCAAUCCAAGUGUUCAAUUGGUACUUAUUCCAUCAACUCCAGCAGAAUUUGAACUCAGAACGUAGAGACGGACGAAAUGCAGUGAAUCAUUUCAUUCGGCAUGCUAACGAUUCUGAUAGCUCGCCGCCUGAUAUAUAAUAAUAAUGGCAUUUAAUAACACACUUUUAAGCAUACUAGCGCUUAUCUGUUCAUCAUUAGUUUGCUUACUCACGAUAGCCACGUUUAUUUUUAUACUUAACUGGGUUAAUUUUCUUUCACUUUCAAUUCCUCAAAUUUAUGCCCUUGAAGCGAAAGACCUCCGAUAGCAGCUCUAAAUUUCUACUUUACUUUAAACGAAAUUUAACUAUUAGGUGAAUAUAGGAUUUGUUAAACGGGUUAUUUUUGCCCACCCAAGAAGUACAUAUUCUGAUUCAGGAUUUGUACAGUGCUUUUCUUUUCUUUUCUCUGUUUCUUUUUUCAGUAAUAAUCUUGAAAAAAAUCUGAUUUCGAGAAGAAAAAUUUUGAAAUAGGGCUAUUUUGUGAGAAAAUUAUAAUUCGUUUCUUUCUACCUCUUUGGAUUUAAUGAUGUGUAUUGUAUAUUUUAUUCAUUACUGUGUUGUUAAUGGAAUUGUCUACUUCAGAAGACUGUGUCUGGUUUUGGUAUUUUAUUUUUACUUGUUUCAGUCAACGGACAGCGGCCAUGCUGGGGCACCGCUUUGUAAGGUUUAAAUGAACGAAUCAGUUCCAGUACUCGGUUUCUUUUAAAUCUGGUACUUAUUCUAUCGGUGUCUUUUGCUGAAACGCAAGUUAUGGGAACGUAAACAUAACACCUAUAGUCAAGCAGUGAUGGGGUGCAAAGAGUAUCUCUCUCUCUCUCUCUCUCUCUCUCUCUCUCUCUCACGCGCGCGCGCAUUUAAUCCUCUGAUCGCCCGGGGCUAUACUAGAAGACACCCAAGAUGCCACGCAGUAGGACCGGACUAUAAGCCACAUGGUUGCAAAGCCAACUUCUUAGUCAUAGCCAUGCUUGCACCUAUAAAUCCUUUAAAAUGUUUUAGCCCGAAGGCCGCGGCCACGCUGGGGCACCACCAUCAGUUCGUAAAUAAAUGAAAUGACGUUUGUUUUGUUUUGUAAUUAUUGUUAUUAUUCUUUGAACUUAAUAUAAUAAUGUUUUUGAAACAGUUUUUUAAAUUUCCUCUUUGUUUUUAUUAUGGUAGAACUGCAAACUACUGAACUCGUAUUACUGAACAAAAUAGAGUUGAGGUGGUUGUUUAGUUUUUUAAAAUGUCUCCAAUAUGCAAAUGGAGCGAAAAAGAUUCUGUUCAGAGCCAGUGUUUUAAUAGCUUCACUCUAGUGCUCUAAAUAUAAAUAAAUACAUUUGCUAACAAAGCAUGGGUGUGGCGUGUAAAAUUGGUUAGUUACUUUCAUUUUAAAUGCCUUCUGUAUCUUCGCUGUUCGUGAGCGAGUUGGCAGAAUCGUAAGCGCCCCAGAAAAAUUGCUUUGAGACAUUUUUAUCCAGCUCUUUACGUGCUAAGCAUAAAUUUCAUCGAGGUCAUCCUUUUGGGGUCGAUAAAAUAAAGCCAAGUAUUGGGAGUCUAUGUAAUCAUCUAACCCUCUUUCACUAGCAUUGUGCUUCCGGCUCUUUACGUUCUGAGUUCAAAUUCCGUCGUGGUCAAUUUUUGCCUUUCAUUCUUUCGAGAUUGGAGCUCAACGUAAUCGAAUAACUCCCCACUCCUCAAAAUUGCUGCCCUUAUGCGAAAAAAAUUGAGGAGGAGGAGACCCCCCUUCGGUCAUGAAUGGCCAUGGGAUUGCCCCUAGAAAGUUACCUUCCAAGGCACAAAUCAGGGCAAGAUUGUUUGUGGAAGGCUAGCAGUCGCCCAUGCAUACCAGCCUCCCUUCUUCAUACCACUGAUGUUAUCCAAGGGAAAGGCAAAAGCUGAUACAGCUUGGCACCAGUAAUUUCGCAGUUCAUUUCUACAGCUGAGUGAACUGGAUCAACGUGAAGUCUCGCUCAAGAACAGAACACGCAAGCUUUAUGUCAAAAUUUGAUGGCAUUAUUUUUCAUAUGAUUUUGUAUGCCUACAUAUGUAGCUAUAUCAUAGAAGUACGGUAGAGCCUUUUAUGUGUAAUAUGGAAAAUGGAAAAACUUACAAGUAAGCGAGAUUAUCGAUGUCAGGGUUUGUUCUCGUGCUUUUUUCGUCCAGCGGACCUGUUCCUCAUGUGUCGGCAAUGCUGGCAUAGUAUCCUUUGUGAAAAAUUAAAAUGGAUACCAUAAAACAAUAUAUAAUUUGUUACUAUUAUUGGGAGACAGGACAUCUAACAUCAAAUUUGACGAAUGGUUAAAAAAACUAGACCGAUAGAAUAAGUGCCAGACAACAACAACAACAAAAAAAAGCCCGGGAUAUCUUGGGUCGAUUUGUCCCACUGAACACUUCAAGGCAGUGCUCCAGUAUGGCAGCACUUCAAUGGCUAAGACAACUGUAUGUAUGUGUGAUAAGUAUUUAGAAAUAAUUCGCUUUUUACAGUUAGAAGCGAAUUAUAUAUUAUAUAUAUGCAUAUAUAUAUACACACAUAUACAUAUGUAUAUAUAUAUAUAUAUGUAUGUAUGUGUGUGUGUGUGUGAAUAUAUGUUGUAUUUAGGAAUGGUCAUUUUGCCAGUUUAGCCAAUAUAUAUAUAUAUAUAUAUAUAUAUAUAUAUAUAUAAUAUUGAUCAAAAUAAAAACAUGAUGCGAAGGAUUCAGCGGUACUUCUUCAGUCGCGCACAACAGCUUCCACAAGGACAUGUGUUACAUCAAAAAUUCUUGGUUGGGGAUUCUUUGAUGUAACACAUGUCCUUGUGGAAGCUGUUGUGCGCGACUGAAGAAGGCCACAGACAUAUAUAUAUAUAUAUAUAUAUAUAUAUAUAUAUAAAUAGAUGAGUGUAUUUUACCUUGUUAACAAUUAACACAGAUAAAUAAGAUUGCAUUGUUUAUACCUUUUAUUCUUUUGAAUAGUAUCAGUGGAAUUUUCGAAACAUAUGUAGAAAGUAAAAAUACUUGUUUAAACCUGCGUUAACUCCAUUUUUUAUUAUAUAUAUAUAUAUAUAUAUAUAUAUAUAUAUAUAUAUAUGCAAAUGAGCGCGUAUGUAUAUGCGCGUCUAUAUAUAUAUAUAUAUAUAUAUAUAUAUAUAUAUAUAUAUACACAUAUAUAUCUGUAAUGUAUAUAUAUGCGUCUAAGUACGAACACAAAAAGGAAUUUUCGUCUAAGUAUUAACUUCCAUUUCCUUUUCUUUCUCUUAACAGUUACAACACCGAAAGCUCAUUACGUCAUUUUCUCUAAACUAAAAUGUAUACUUUCCACGUUCAUAUUUAAAUUUUUUUUUUUUUUGCGUUUCAAUAAUUUUUCUCUGAUUUUACUCAUUCUCGAAUUUGAUGGACAUAUAGCGGUACGUAAGCCGAUUCAUGAAAUCUUUAGUGAGACUUUUUAUUGAUGUACCUGAUCUACACCCAGAACGGGUCGAAACACGUGUUUGUACCCAAUAAAGACUAUUACAUAUUCCAUCUCCUAUUUUAUUAAUACUGUUACCCCAACCGCCACUACGUAUUAUAUAUAUAUAUAUAUAUAUAUAUAUAUAUAUAUAUAUAUAUAUAUAUAUAUAUAUAUAUUUAUGGGUAUAUAUAUGUAUGCAUAUAUAUAUAUACAUAUAUAUAUGUAUGCAUAUAUAUAUAUAUCCAUAUAUAUAUAUAUAUGCAUAUAUAUAUAUGUAUGUAUAUAUAUAUGUAUGUAUAUAUAUAUAUGCAUAUAUAUAUACAUAUAUAUAUAUGUAUAUAUAUAUGCAUAUGUAUAUAUAUGCAUAUAUAUAUGUAUAUAUACAUAUAUAUAUAUAUGCAUAUAUAUAUACAUAUAUAUAUAUAUGAUAUAUAUAUGUAUAUAUAUGCAUAUGUAUAUAUAUGCAUAUGUAUAUAUAUAUAUAUAUAUAUAUAUAUAUAUAUAUAUAUAUGCAUAUAUAUAUAUGCAUAUAUAUACAUGUAUAUAUAUAUAUAUAUAUAUAUAUAUAUAUAUAUAUAUGCAUAUAUAUAUGUAUAUAUAUAUAUAUAUAUAUAUAUAUAUGCAUAUAUAUACAUGUAUAUAUAUAUAUAUAUGCAUAUAUAUAUAUGUAUAUAUAUAUAUAUAUAUGCAUAUAUAUAUAUAUAUAUAUAUAUAUAUAUAUGCAUAUAUAUAUGCAUAUAUAUAAUAUAAUUCGAGACAAAACCACUAUUUUAAAACCAAACAAGGAAAGACUUAAUCAAUACAUAAAAUUUUAAUAUAAAUUAAAUAAACCGCCACUACAAAUGUUUCAUGUCUGCUACCGACAAUCUUCAGGUGGAUUUUCGAUCUUCUAAUCAGUAUCAAAUUUUGAAGUGAAAUUUGAUACUGAUUAGAAGAUCGAAAAUCCACCUGAAGAUUGUCGGUAGCAGACAUGAAACAUUUGUAGUGGCGGUUUAUUUAAUUUAUAUUAAAAUUUUAUGUAUUGAUUAAGUCUUUCCUUGUUUGGUUUUAAAAUAGUGGUUUUGUCUCGAAUUAUAUUAUAUAAUAUUUUACUAUAAAAUUGGAUUUAACCCUAAAUCUGAUUUUCCCCUGUAAUUUUGGAUUCAUUCCCUAAUAUUUAUUAUAUAUAUAUAUGCAUAUAUAUGUAUAUAUAAUAUGCAUAUAUAUAUGUAUAUAUAUAUAUGUAUAUAUAUAUAUUGUAUAUAUUACAUAUAUAUAUUAUAUAUAUAUAUAUGUAUAUAUAUAUAUUAUAUAUACAUAUAUGUAUAUAUAUAUAUGCAUAUAUAUGUAUAUAUAUAUGCAUAUAUAUAUAUAUAUAUAUAUGCAUGUAUAUAUAAGUAUAUAUAUGCGCACACUCACACGCACACACAUAUCUAUAACUUACUACUUUACUUUCUCUUUUUCGCUUGUUUGACCAAAAGAAUCGGCUACGGCAAGCAAAUAUAAAUAUUUUUUAAAAAACGCAUUUGGCCAAAUUUGUAAAUACGACAGUUUAACAUAAUAGCAACGAUGUGUGUGUGUUUUAUACACAUGCAAAUGUAUAUGUACGUGCACAAACAUAUUUGUGUAUCUAUGCAUGUAAGAAUUGAUUGUUCGAAGAUCAUCUUUUAGUUUGGCAAAAUUACCUAUCUCAAGUGUUUUCUUAUCUUAUCUUGUCUCUUAAAGUGAUUAUUUUAUUUAUUUAUUUAUCAACUGGAGUUUGUUUUAAAAGAACUUUUUUUUACGACUUCGUCCUUUCAAUCAUUUGUUUUCACUUGGAAAUUUUCUAGAGCAUUUUUUAUGCUUUUAAUGUCACUUUGACUUAACGUAUACUAUUUCACAUUAUAUUAUUUGUACACUAUCUCGACAGAGUAUCAGGUUUUAUUUAAUUUGAAGUAUUUAUUCCCGUCACACUAUAUACAUACACCUCGAAGUUCAAAUCCUGUCGUAAUUAAUUUUGUCUUUCAUUCUUCUGCAUCGAUAAAACAACUCGGAGUUAAUUUACUAGUCUUGUUUUAAAUGAUUGUGCUACUUCAUUAUCAGCCAGGUUACCACUCACCGAUUCCAGUGGUCGGCUUUCUAAAGUAGUUCUGUGGAUUUCAAAUUUACUGUUUUGCUUGAGUGGACCUUCAAAGGCCUUACAUAGGACCCCCAGUGAUCAUAUGAACCUUGGUUGAGGUGAUCAGUAGCACCCUUAAACAGCCUCGAAGAUCACUUGGAAUUGAACAUUUUAAAAUAGGUUGCUACUCUUGCGCAUCCAUUUCAUGUAAUGUUGGCUGUGAUCAGGCUAAAAACGCCAGUGGAGGAAGCUUGCCCUCCAUUUCGCUGAGCAACGCUGGAGAACUUAAUAUCAGAUGGGUGUUUUAGUGAAUAUCUUACCAUAGUUUAUUAGUCUACCUUUAACACCAAAAUUCUUCUCUAAUAUCUGUAUUUUUUUUCUCAUUUUAGUUUACACUGUACAUUCAACACAGUAUACUUAACUCAUUUCUUCUCAGUUAGUCCUUAUACAUUUCAUCAUUACUCCAUCUAUAUAUCACAGUUUAUUUGAUAUAUAUUCUCAAAUGGCAAUAGAGUUUUCCUUUUUCUUUCUUUUUCACUUUUUUUGCUAUCAAUAUUAAGAAACUCUAAGGCAGAGAGAGCUGGCAGAAUAGUUACCACGCCGGGGGAAAUGCUUAGCGGCACUUCGUUUGUCUUUACCUUCUGGGUUCAAAUUCCACCGAGGUCGACUUUGCUUUUCAUCCUUUUGAGGUUGAUAAAAUAAGUUCCAGUCAAGCACUGGAGUCGAUGUAAUCGACUUACCCCUCCUCUGAAAUUGCUGGUCUUGUGUCAAAUUUUCAAAUCAGUAUUAAGAAACACUAGGGAGUGCUCUACAACAAAGAAGGUACUUCAAAGAAUAAGCCCACCCUCCUAUUCCCAUAAAAAUGUUUCAGCCCUUAACUCUAAUGCACUCCAAUACUUCACGCCGUAUCCAGGCCAUAAUUCUUAUAUAUUUCACCCUUCUACUGAAGCCUUUUGUACCACUUGCAUGCAUGCGGUAGAACCUCUACUUACCAUGCUGCUUAGGUGUCUGAAACCUAGUUAGAUUUAUGGCUGAUGUUUUAACCAUUCGGAUACUCAUUAUUACUAUUCCAUAUCUUCACUAUUGCAACAUGUCGCUUCAAUAAAACUUUGUCUUCUCUGGUUGUUUUGUAGCAUUAAGCUUUUCCAGUGCAGCUUCUGGUGCACAUGAACUUUUAUUCUGCGGUCUUUUUCAUUAAGAGAGUCGAGUGUGAAUUCAGGGAGAUUUGACCGCUAUUACUACCAGUAAACAGCUUGUAGAGGUUCUCCUCGUUGACUCAUAUCCUGCAAUAGUAGGAUGUAAUUCGAAGGAGAUUUAGCUGUUAUUUUAAUAGAAAGCUAAGUGAUAACGUAGAGGUUGGCUUUAUACAUAGACGGCAAUGGAGGGUAGUUUGAGGAAAAUUGCGCAGUUGUUUAUAAUAAGAGCGGAAUCAGGCGUCCGCUCACGUAGAAUCUCCCUUUUAGGUUCAUAUGUGUGUGGUGAGAUGGGGUAUUUGUCAUAAACUUAAAUGAGUAAAUCGAUAUAUCUCAUCAUCCAUGUUACUCUUACAACCUUUACAAUAAAUAGUUUCAGGCUUUUUUCACGAUGAUCUCAUAAUACGGACUUUAUUACUUCAUAUUCUGACGGUGGAAAUCCCUCACCAUAUCCAUGAACUUAUACCGCGAUUAAGAGGCCGCUCUAUAUACAAGAAAUUAAAGCUUUAUGGGCGAUCUUUCGUCUCUAGUAGACCUUUCCGUCGAUUUCCGUAAAAAAAUUUUUUUUUUUUUCACAUAUGGGCUUGCGGGAACUUUUGAAGUAAUAUACAUACAUAUACACAUACACCGAGUAAAAAAUUUCAGUUAUCUCUUUCUUUCACACAUUACUCUAUCUCUUCACACAUACUAACAGAAGCACUUCACUUACACAACAUACUGUCUGUCUCCCACACCCCAUCAAACACACACACAUGUACAUCAAUGCUUCACAUGCACGGUAACUUGAAAAGAACUUCCCUCGUCAUACAAUCGCUUUCUCUUAGUCUCUUUCGCUCUCAUUACUUCAAAAGUUCCCGCAAGCCCAUAUGUAAAAAAAAAAUUUUUCUUACGGAAAUCGACGGAAAGGUCUACUAGAGACGAAAGAUUGCCGCUUUAUGUGUUAGUAAUGUCGCAUAAGCGGAGUACAAACUACAGAGCCUUCGGUGAAAGAAAAAACUAAAAAUGUUUUCACAAAUUUUGUUAAAUAUUAAUAUCAUCGAAUUUAUCGAUCACCCAUCGUUUGAUUAGUACUUACUUAAUUUAUCGGGACCUUCGCCGGAUAUCAACUCAGAAUAUAAAACACUACAGCUCGCAGAUCGUUCUGAGUUCAAAUCCCGCCGAGGCCAACUUUACCUUUCAUUCUUUCAGAGUCGAUUAAAUAAAUACUACUUAUCGGAAGAGGGAUGAUGUAUGUGAUAGACUAGCUCUUUUGUGUCCUAUAGUAUACUAUAGAAAUUUCUUUUUGGUAGAAUGGUCUGCUUUCUAUGCUGUCAAGUUACUUUUCCAUGUAUUUAAUUUAUUCCAAAACAAAGAAUUCCAGCAAUAAUUCUUCUCCACUUUAUUUCUUUGUCUUCCUGUUUUUCAACCAAAUCCUUUCUUAUUCACCAUUUUGUCCUUUUCCUGCCCUCUCGUCUCCAUAAAACUCCUUGUCACGUAUUAGUAUUAUUAUUUGGUUAUUUAGGGGGUUAUCCUUUACAGUUGACUCCCACUCUUUCCCUAGUUCUACGCAAACGUUUUUAAUACAUCUCUGGACAUGUGCUUUAUAUUCUCUAUAAUCUUAUCUUUUCCUCCAUGCUUGAAAGUUUUUUACGUACGUACACACAUACGCACACCACACCACACGCAAGCGCAAAUACUUAUAUACAUACACACACACACACACGUAUCCAUACAUGUAUACAUACACGUGUGUAUUUACCAGCUUCCUGUUCUAACGUCUUUGAAAUAUUAUCUCUGUAACUUCAGCUGAUGAAAAGAAGAGAGUGAAAAGUUUAUUUGUCCUUUUUUUACACUCAAUAAAUGUCCGCAACACAGCCACCGAUAUCACCACUGCCUCCUUUUACCAUCAUCAUCAUUAAGCAUGCUUUCUAGUUUGGGGUUGUUAUUUUUUUUUUUCUCUCUCGCUCUCUCUCUCUCUCUCUCUUUUGUUUCUGUCGUCGUGCUGCUGUCUUUCGAACGAAACUUCUUUACAACUGUUUGCUCCCUUGAUAUCCUUGAGAUAUCCGCUUGGUCGUAACAGCAAUUAAGAUAUAAACAAAAAACAUUUUAUUUGCUACAAAGUUGGUUUAUUGGUUCGUAAACAUUGCCAUACUAUUUAUUUUCAACGACCAAGUCAAUGUAAAGCCUUGUGGCAACACUUCUUCUUUUUUUUUUUUAUCUCUUUUCUUCCUUUUUUUUUUGUCAUUGUUUUUAUCACGUGGUUUGGUUGGUCGGUCGUUGGUUUAACAACAACAAAACUAUUUUCCCAGCUAAACUUAUUUUCUUCAAGAACAUUUUUCUAGGGCAUUAACACUCACUACCACACCGCACAACCACUACUACUACCACCACCACCACCGCUAUGAACCUGUUGUUGUUAGUCUCUGUCUAUACGGUUGAUUGCUACGUAUGCGAAAGACUAUAUACUGUGUAGAGUUGUUGGCCGAAAAGUUGCUUCACUCCACAACCCUACCCAACUCUACAACUCAGUUUAAAUGCUUAGCUGUCUUGGCGGCUAUUUUCUGUAACAAGCCUAACAGAAGUUGUUUAUUACACACACACACACACACACACACACACACACACACACACACACACACUACACGUUUUAUGUGUAAUAUAUAAAUUAAAUAUAAAUAUAUUAUAUAUUGUUUAUAUAUAUAUAUAUAUAUUUAUAUAUAUAUAUAUAAAUAUAUGCUUUUUAUAUAAAUAUAUAUAAUUUAUGUAUAUAUAAUUAAAAUAUAAAUAUAUGCUGUUUAUAUGAAUAUAAUUUAUAUAUAUAUAUAUAUAUAUAUGAUGAAAAUAUAGAUAUAUAAUUCAUGUAUUAAUAUAUAAAGAUAUGUUAUAUAUAUAUGUAUAAAUAUAUAAAAAUGUUUUAUAUAUAUAUACUGCUUAUAUAAAUAUAUAAUUUAUGUAUAAAUAUGAAUAUAUGUUAUAUAUUAUAUUAUAUUAUAUUAUAUUAUAUUAUAUUAUAUUAUUUUAUAUUACAUGAUAUGUAUUCAUAUAUCGAAAUGAAAAUGAGCUAAGAGAAAUAACUGUCAUGGCGGUCAUAAUUACGUGUGAUCCUUCUUCUCUACGUCGUUUUAAUUCACUCUGCUAAUUCUGCUCUCAGCAAAGGCUGAUUUUUUAUUUCUAGUGAAAUUCAACUCAUGCUUAUUGUUGUAAUUGAAAAAAAAACUAAGUUGUUCUUAGGCUGUUGUCAUGUCCAGUAAUGUGUUGCUUGUGGCUAUUCUAACUCGCUCCGCUACCAUAUCAGCGUGUGUGUGUGUGUAUGGUAAAUAUGUCGAAUAGCGGCGUUAUUUCCACAAAAUUAAUAAUGUAUACAAAAGGAAAAAACAAACAUUGUUUACUUGAAAAUACUAUAACGAAAAUCGGAUAUUCUUUAUUUAUUUAUUUAUUAAUUUUUUUUUUCAUAUUUUUUACUACGAAGAAAAAUUCAUUUUAAAGCCACGUGUGUUUAUAACGAGAUGGGGAUACGGUUUAGGUAACUUUAGAUACAUUUUUCGAAAAUAUGCAAUUUAGUUGAGAGUUUUUUUUUCUAGGUCUUUGUUUCGGCAUUUCAAACAAACCAUACCUAUAAUAGUUUUUUAUGCACCCUAUAUUUAUUCAUUUUUUUUUUCACAAUUAUACAAUGAAUUCUACACUCACGCACAGAUGUGUCUAAUUGUAGAAGACGGAAUGUGCGUUUGCGUAUGUAUGCGUAGUGCAGUGGAGUGCUUAUUGCGAUCGCUUUGGAACAAAGCUUCUAACGAUAACAAUAAAUGGCUGAUGGUAUUCAGCAAAUGUAACUUAUGACCUAAUAAUUUUGAUUACAAUAACCGGUUAUACGUGAUUAUGAAUUAGUGGAUUGUGCUUUGUGUGUAUCUGUCUAUAUAUAUAUAUAUAUAUAAGAUAUAAAGAUACACACACACAUAUGAUAUAAAUAUAUUUAUAUAUAUAUAAUAUAAUAUGUACAUAAAAGAAAUAUAAGAUAUAUAUAUUUAUGUAUAUAUAAUGUGUAUAAAAUGUUUAUAUAUAUACACACACGCAUACAUACAUACACGCGCGCGCACACAUAUCUUUAUCUAUCUAUCUAUAUAAUGGAAUUUUGGUUUAUUAUUAAUAUUUUGUUUUCAUUUUACGAAAUUAAUGAAACACGAACGGAAACUUCACCAAAUCGAUCGAUUAGUUCAUGUCAUUAAAAUGGGGGAAUAAAUAAAUAAAUAUUGUUUAAAUUGAUUUUAGCCCGUUUGAAAUAUUAAUUUAUACUGCUCUAAUUUGUUCAAGCUUUAACGGAUAAUUAUUUUUGUAAAUUCCGCAUUAUUUCAUGCAUCCUACAUUUUCAUAAACUUAAUUCAAAAAUAAAGCACAUCUGUGUCUGUCUGUCUGUCUGUCUGUCCGUCUCUCUUUCUUUCCCUCUUGCGUGUGUAUGUAAUUGUAAAGCGAUAUUUAAAAACUUUUGUCAAAUGCAAUCCCAUUUUUGUUCUUUUUUUUUUUUAAAUUUAAAUUAUGAAUCUAAAAACAAAAUGCUUUUAACUUUUACGAAAUGAGAUUUUAAAUUGAUUUCAGUUAGUGAUGAUGACGUAACAACCAUUAUUAUUCUAUUCGUUAAAUUAAGUUGAUCAGACUGUGUACAUGUUUGUGUGCUUGGUGUGUGUAUCAUUUGAUUGGAUUUUCAGCGACCAUACUAGGCUAUCGUUCUUUAAGGGCUGACCACUUCAUGGUAAACGUUGAGUAGAUAAAAAGCAAACUCGACUGGUGCGGGAUUUGAACAAAUCGUGAAUUACACAAAGGACCUUAAUCGAUUUUGUUAUAACCCUGUCAUAUACAUACAUACAUACAUACUCGCACACGUCUCUCUCUCUCUCUCUCUCUCUCUCUCUCUAUAUAUAUAUAUAUAUAUAUAUAUAUAUAUAUACACACACACACAUGCAUGCAUGCAUACAUACAUACAUACAUACAUACAUACAUACAUACACACAUACAUACACACAUACAUACAUACAUACAUACAUACAUACAUACAGUGUUGAAUAUCGGAAGAAAGAGUGCUCGAUACCAUACCAGAGUUUAAUAUAGUUUAUGUUUAACAGAUAAAUUGAUAUCUAGCUUUGAUACUCCUUCAAAAAUAGUCUUUUGUAACUGUGUGUCAUCAUAUAUAAUUUUUUAAAAUACACUACCUUUAUUUCAGUUAUUUUAAAAAAUACCGAAGAAUUUAGUUUAAAAAAGGAACUCUCAUUAUUAAUUAGUGUUUGGGAAAUAAAUUAACAUGAGACUAUGAAGGAAAAUUUUAGUCUAGAUCAGGUUAAAUUAAGUUGAUCAGACUGUGUACAUGUUUGUGUGCUUGGUGUAUGUAUCAUUUGAUUGGAUUUUCAGCGAUCAUACUAGGCUAUCGUUCUUUAAGGGCUGACCACUUCAUGGUAAACGUUGAGUAGAUAAAAAGCAAACUCGACUGGUGCGGGAUUUGAACAAAUCGUGAAUUACACAAAGGACCGUAAUUUAGCUGCAUAUUUCUGUUACAAUACAUUGUCUUUAUUUAAAUUAAUUUUGAAAACAAUGAUUAAUUUGGGGGAGAAAAUGCCAUUAUUAAACUGGUAUUUAGAAUAUAAAUUAACGUGAUGGAAGGCUUUAAACUUAGAUCACGUUAAUACAGGAAGUUUGCGUCAUGGAACUAAGGAUGGUCCCUGGUGGGUUGGCAUUUAAACGGUUAAUGUAUAAUAUCUAUAAUCUGAACAAGUAGUCCACAAUAAGUCUGGAAGAUCUGUGGAAAACACCAAUUGAAGAAAGCAAACUGAAAACAAUUCUAUAAUAACGGUGUAUCUUCACUGCUAUAAAACCUUGAAAUCUUUCCAAUUGAGCUGAGCGCGUGCGCGCGUGCACACAUAUAAGGAAUGGAGUUGGAAGCAACUUGAUAUUAUGAACGAGGGAAAUAUGUCAGUAAGCGGUAGGUACAAGAAAACAUCUAGAUAUGAGUGAGACUAGUCAGAAGUUCACCUUUUUUUAAAUAUGUUUUUCUUGUUUAACUGCACCAGUCUUAGUGCAAACAACGAAUGCGUUCAUGGUCUUUUGGAAGUUGUAAACGGUCCAGCUUUUUGCGCAAUGUCUCAAAAAUCUUUAUGACAUAUGACGUGGUUUAAAGUUUAAGACAGCAUAACGGAUUCUCUUUUCAUUUAAGUGAUCAAAUAAUGUAUGAUGGCAUGAAGGUUACGUGGCUGUAAAAUAGGAACAGCUAUAAAAGUAAAGGUGUGGGUGACGAAGAACAAUAAUAGCUCAAAAGAUAUGGCACAUAAACUUGUAAAUUAAGAUACAUGUUGGCUGGUGUGAGACAGCAACAAGUUGACAACUGGGGGUUAUUUUUUGUUAUAUAUACCCAUACAUACGCAAACACCACACACAUACACACACACACGUUUGCAUACAUACAUACAUACAUACAUAUAUAUAUAUGGAACUCGACUGAGGAAAGAAAACUCCGAAUGACCCGUCCUUGUUAUCUUUGUAUCGUCUAUCUGGAUGUUUUGUUGUCUCUUUUUUGUAUCACCUAACUGUCUUGAUGUUUUGCGUUCUUGCCCUAUUUUGUAUUUUUUAUAUAUAAAACAUAUAACGGCGUACGUACACUUUGGUCUCUCAUAUAUAUAUAUAUAUAUAUAUAUAUAUAUAUAUAUAUAUAUAUAUCCGUAUCAAGUGAUGAUAUCCACAUUAUUAAAGUUUACUUCUCACUUUCAAAAGGUACGUUUUUUUCUUAUUACCUGGAUGGUAUUCUAAAAACAGGUGACAGUAGGGGUUGGGUACAGAAUAAUACGAAAACAAUAACCCUUUUGAUAAAAAAGAAAAAGGUUGGGUCAGAUCUUUGUUUUUAAAUUUAUUCAUUUGCCACAAAUUUUUGCUUACCAAUAUAAUCUGCAGAUUACAUGUUUCUAUAGUAGCCACGAAAGACAUCACUUAUGUGAUAUAUCAAUGCUCUUGAAAAGAGCAAAUAACCUUUAUGAAUUCAACCCACCAAAGGAUGCCUCGGAUUCAGUGAUACAAACUUCCUGUGUUAUUGUAAUCUAAGGGUAAAAUCUUCCAUCAAAAUUUCAAGUUAAUUUAUGUUCCAAACAUCAGCUUAAUAACGAUAACGUCAUUUUACUAACUUCAUUAUUUUCGAAGUUAAAACAAAGGCAUUGUUCUUUACGAGAUGUAUGGUAAUAUGCGGGUUAAAAUUGAUGUCUUGAAGACCCUAUAUAGCUAGAAAGGCUUUUUCAACUGGCUAUCGAUUUAAGUUGAGGCAUCAUCAUCAAAAUUAUUUUUAUGCCUGUUUUUUUUUUUUUCUGUGCUGGCAUGAUUUGGACGAAGGCACUGAUCUGUGGGAUUAUCUUCUUCAAACCAAUCUUUGCUCAUCGUAACACCAACCGUCUCUUGUUUUGCAAGUACGGUAUUCCGUUUGACUUUGUAUGUCGCGCAGUCAAAGCUAUGAGAUGUAAUAUUGUCUGUGAAACACACAAAGAAACCUCACUGCUGUCCAAGGCCUGCAAAUCGGAAGACAUGUGGAAAAACACAAACACGCACACACACACAGUGUAUUGAUUGGAGAAAACUAUCUUGGGUUUGCAUCUAAGUGUGCAGAAGAAGUUGGGUUCAGCUAUACAGUUCAGAGGAUAAAGUAAAUAGGUGACAGGAUAUUACAUGAACAUACAAACAAGCAGUUGUGUGCUUUGAAGGUCACAAGAUAGCAGCUGAAAGUGGCACAGCUGAAGACAAACUGUAUUUAAGAAAUAAUCAAAUCUACUUAGUAUGUGCGAUACAGAAGUAAUGUGUGAGAAUGUGUAGGUAAGCACAUAUAUAUAUAUGUGUGUGUGUAUGUAUAUACAUGUAUAUGUAUAUAUGUAUUUGUAUUUCUAUAUGUAUCCACAUAUAUAUAUAUAUAUAUAUAUAUAUAAUAUUUAACGAUAUUUUAUUAUUGCGUCUCUAAUAUUUCUGUGAACACCUGGUGGUUCAUAAAGAGAUUAUUAUUAUUAUUACUACUACUACUAUUGUUGUUGCUAUUGAAGGCGGUGAGCUGGUUGAAUCGGUAGCACACCGGACAAAAUGCUUUGCUUUUCAUCUUUUCGGGGUUGACUAACUAUGUACCAGUUACACACUAGGGUGAUGUAAUCAACUUAAACCUUUGCCCCAAAUGUGAGGCCGUGUGCUUCCAGUAGAAAAGAUUGUUGUUGUUGUUGUUGUUGUCGUCGUCGUCGUCGUCGUCGUCGUCAAUAUUAUUAUUAUUGAAGACAGUGAGCUGGUUGAAUUGUUAGCACGCCGGACAAAAUGCUUAGUGGCGUUCUGAGUUCAGAUUCCGCCGGGGUCGUCUUUGCCUUUCUUCCUUUCGGGGUCGAUGAAAUAAAUACCAGUCAGAUACUAGGGACGAUGUAAUCGACUAGAACCCCCAUCACCCGUCAAAAAGUACAGACUAUGUGCCUAUAGAAGCAAGAAUUAUACAUACGUACAUGUGUGUGUGUGUAUAGUAUCUCUGCAAAUUAAGUCUGAGAAGCGUGUGAAUGAUUCUGAUAUUAACUGUUAAGCAUCGACGUAUCUAAUAAGUCAGGAGAGUACGAUAAAUAGUUGGGACAAUAUUGUAAGAAACUGAUAUUGGUUCUUUUUGGGUUUUUUUUAACAUCUCAUCUAGUACAAAAUAUCACUGUCUCAUAGCGCUCUGCGGUAUUUAACUACUGAGAUGCCACAAUCAUGCUUUUUAUGAUGUUGCUUGAGAUAGACAAACGCAUGUUAUAUAUGAAAACACGCGCACAUACAAGGCACAGCUGUCGUUAUGUGAUAAGAAGUUUGCUUCCUAACCAAUGGCUCCGGCUUCAGUCCCACUGCGUGUCACCUUGGGGAAAGUACCUUCUACUAAAGCCCCAUGUUGACCAAAGUUUUGUGGUUGGAUUUGGUAAGAAACCUUCCGUAUACACACACACACACACACACACACACACACACACACACACACACACACGAGGGGGUGCUGAAAAGUUCCUGGCUUUAAAAGUUCCGUGAAGGGCCUGGUUGGAAGCCCAACCUUCCGAGUUCUUUUACAGGUCUUAGAAAAGACUGAAGGAUCACUGCAAUAAGUGUGUGAAUCUGAGAGGGGAAUAUGUUCGAUAAAAUCAUAAUUAUCUGAUCCUCUUGUAUUUUCUUUUACCCACCAAAACCAGGAACUUUUCAACACCCUAUCGUAUAUAUCUCUAUAUAAUAUAUAUAUGUAUAUAUAUAUAUAUAUAUAUAUAUAUAUAUAUAUAUAUAUUCCUCCGUCUUCCCUUCCUUGGAUCUUUCCUUUUUCUAUAUUUCUGACGAAGAGCUUCGCUCGAAACGUUUAACCCUCCUCUUUCUUUCCUUUCCUGUGCGUCCAAAACACUAUACUUGUUCCACGUCCUCGCGUUGUUGUGUUUUCUCUUUGUGUUUUCAUGUUUGGAUUGACUUUAACUAUAUAUAUAUACUAGCAGUAUCGCCCGGCGUUGCUCGGGUUUGUAAGGGAAAUAACUAUAAAGCAUUUUUAGAGAGUUAUAGCCAAAAAAUAGCAAAAAAAAUGCAUUAAAAAUGGAAAAAAUAUGAUGGUAAAUUAUUUUAAAAUCGCUGACUCAUCGUAGACAUUUUUAGAGAGUUACUUCCCUUAUAUUUAAAAAAUAUCCAUUAAAAUGGAAAAUAAUAAUGGUAAAUUAUUUUUAAAAUCGUAGACUAUUUUUAAAAUCGCUAAUACCCAGAAGGGCUCGAUAUGAAUCACGACUAUAAGAUACCCGGUUUUGGUUAAACUACACCGCAAAAUGUGGGAGUAGUUAGGAAUCUAAAUCGGAGUAGACAGACACACAACCUUACUUUUAUAUAUAAAGAUAUAGUGUUUAAAACAGUUUGAUUCGGUUCCAGAAGCCUUUUAAGUAAUACAUAUAAUUCCUACUAAACGUGUUGAUUGACCUUUUCUUCCGUUUGUCCACUCUCUCGUGAAUGUAUGUAUAAAUAUAAUAUAUCUUAUAAGACUCCGCCGGUUACGACGACGAGGGUCCCAGCUGAUACGAUCAACGGAACAGCUUGCUCGUGAAAUUAACGUGCAAAUGGCUGAGCAUUCCACAGACACGUGUACCCUUAACGUGGUUCUCGGGGAUAAUCAGCGUGACACAGAGAGUGACAAGGCUGACCCUUUGAAAUACAAGUACAACUCAUUUUUGCCAGCUGAGUGGACUGGAGCAACGUGAAAUAAAGUGUCUUGCUCAAGGACACAACGCGUCGCCGGGAAUCGAACUCACAACCUUACGAUCAUGAGCCGAAUGUCCUAAGCCACGCGCCCUCACUAAAUAUAUAUAUAUAUAUAUAUAUAUAUAUAUAUAUAUAUACACACACACACACAUAUGGGUGUGUGUAUUUAUGUUUGUCCCCUUCGACCUCUUCACAAUCAGUGUGAUUUCUUCACGUUCCUGUUACUUAGUGGUCCCCGCAAAAGAGAGUGAUAUAUUAGCUGGCAGGUUUUUUUUAAAAAUAGAUACACAACACAGAUCGAUUCGUUCGACUGAAAAGUGCUCCAAGCAUGGUCUCAAUCGAAAGACUGAAACAAGUAAAAGAUAAUAUGUCAUUGCAUAAACAGCUACCGAUUGACACUAUAUGAGAAAUUAUUUCUCAUCUUUCUUAUUAUGUAUACCGUAGCAGUAGCAGCAGCAGCAGCAGCAAUUAAGGCUGCUAAAACAGCUAUCAUAACAAAGUUGGUAUUUGCUUUUUAGGUCAGUUUAUUAGAACUGGGCAAGUGUAGCUUGCACCAAAAUUCUAUGUGCACUUUAAACUUAAGUGUAUAUAUAUUUAUAUAUAUAUAAGGAGAGAGAGAGAGAUAAUGUGUCUAUAUAUCUAUUUUUGUGUAUAUGCAUAUAUAAGUACGUAUAUAUAUUUAUAUAUAUAUAUAUAUAUACAUACAUACAUAUAUAUAUAUACAUUAUAUAUAUAUAUACAUACACACAUGUAUAUAUAUACAUUAUAUAUAUAUAUAUAUAUAUAUACACACAUUAUAUAUAUAUAUAUACAUACAUACAUAUAUAUAUAUAUAGUACAUAUAUAUCUUUAUAUAUAGUACAUAUAUAUCUUUAUAUAUAUACAUAUAUAUAUAUAUAUAUAUAUAUAUAUAUAUAUCUUUAUAUAUAUAUAUAUAUAUAUAUAUAUAUAUAUAUAUAUAUAUCUUUAUAUAUAUACUAGCAGUAUCGCCCGGCGUUGCUCGCGUUUGUUUCGACCCUUUAGAAUUGGAAUUUUUGAAAAGUAAAAAUUUUGCAUUAUGUAGCUUCUUAUUCUCUUUAAGUGAACCGAAAAAUGGCGACACAGCAGUCAAAAAAUCGUAAAAAAUAGGGAUUUUCAUAGAAAAAAAAGCACCUUUUUGAUGUAAAUAAUUUUCAGUGUUAACAUGGUCCGAUUUGAAGUUUUUCUUCUUCGGAAGGAAGAGCAAGCCUUCUAUCAUACUCUCAAUUUUGGUCAACUUGCGCCGCAGGGCUCGAAGGAGAUAGUGUUAGUUGAAGGCUACCAAACCUGCCAUACACAGACAACUUCAGCUUAUAUAUAUAUAUAUAUCAUGUGGCCCCGUUAAUUUAGGUACCUUUUUUCUCUCUCCAUGUUUUUCUCUCUUUCCAUCUAUUUCCUCUCCUCGUUCCUUUCUAAAGAAGACUGUAGGCUUGGAACGUCAAAGAUUUCUUCCAAUUUUCUUUCUUGUCAAACUUAAUACACCUUGUCUUUUGUUCCUUCACCUGUCCCUGUGUUUUGCAUAUCUUUGAACUAUGCGCGUGCGCACGCAUGUCUAUAUAUGUAGCUAUAUGUGCGUAUUUUUAUCUACGUGUGUCUAUGUGUGUACACACGCAGAUACAGCCGUGCUUUUUAUGGAACUAAGUAUUUGGCGGUUUUGGUCCCACCGUGUGGAUGCUUGUCAACCAACCAGGGUCUUGUACAAUUGCCAAGGGUCGACCAUUGCCUUCUCAUUGCAAUUGGCGAACAGAAACUGAGGUCUGUCAUACACACAUACACGCAUCGACAUGCGCGCACAACCUUAAUAUAUAUAUAUAUAUAUAUGUGUGUGUGUGUGUAUACACACAUACGGGGAACAGUUGUUCUUUUUAAGUUCAAUUUUUUUUUUUUUUUCAUUUAUUAAAGUUUUCUCUUGGCAGCUGCAUAUAUUUUAUCGAUACUUCAAGCUCAUUUCUACCUCAUCUACAGGUUGUGUGCUAGUGUUUUGCCUCCGUGUAGCUCUUUUUACUGUGGGUUACUCUUUUACUCUCUUUUACUUGUUUCAGUCAUUUGACUGCGGCCAUGCUGGAGCACCGCCUUUAGUCGAGCAAAUCGACCCCGGGACUUAUUCUUUGUAAGGCCAGUACUUAUUCUAUCGGUCUCUUUUGCCGAACCGCUAAGUGACGGGGACGUAAACACACCAGCAUCGGUUGUCAAGCAAUGCUAGGGGGACAAACACACGAACACACACACACACACACACACACACACACAUAUAUAUACGACAGGCUUCUUUCAGUUUCCGUCUACCAAAUCCACUCACAAGGCUUUGGUCGGCCCGAGGCUAUAGCAGAAGACACUUGCCCAAGGUGCCACGCAGUGGGACUGAAUCCGGAACCAUGUGGUUGGUAAACAAGCUACUUACCACACACCCACUUUUGCUCAUAUUUGUGCACACUUCCUUCCACAAUUUGACUGUCAGAUCAUGGGAUUUGUUUCGUCGCAUGUUAAUUGUAGUCAUCGGUUGCAAUAUUGAUGUAUGUGUGUGCAUUAUAAAUCGUUUUCAUUUCAUGUCCAUUUUCCAUGGUAGCAUGGCUGGGAUGAUUCUGCAGGAUCUAAUGAGUGAAUGAUUACAUCAUGGUGCACUGUCUGCUUUGAUAUGCUUUCAACUGCUGGCUGCCUUUCCUGUGCCAACCGUUUUACAAAGUAUAUUUGGUGCUUUCUUUCUUUUUUUUUUCCAUUGCAGCCUUAGUUGUGAAAGAUCGCCUUGUUAAAUUCAAGGCUAUUGACUCUAAAGUAGCUUUCCAACUGAUGUUGAAACUAAAGAGAAUGUGUGAGAUGAUAUUAGGUAGGGUUAGACUGGCUGAUAAGCGAGGAUAUAUCCUUUAGAUAUGUGUGUGUGUGUGUAACUAUAUGUAUGUAGUCGUAUAUAUUGUGUUUAAUAUUGUUUGAUAUAUGCUGCGUAUUUAUGACGGCGAGCUAAUGGAGUUGUUAACACGCCACACGAAAUGCUUUGCGCCAUCAUUGCUGGCUCUACGUUCUGAGUUCAAAUUUCGCCGUUAUAUUCUUUGAUUUAUAAAAUAAGUAUCAGUUACGCACCGGUGUUGAUGUGAUCGACUUGCCUCUUUCCACCACCACGCCUUCAAAAAAAAUGUUCAAGCUUUGUGCCUUUUGUAAAAAGUAUAUUUAAUACAUAUAUGAGACAUAUUAAGUUAUGAAUUAAAAACUUUGUAUGUUGGUUGUGUGUAAUCGAAGAGAUGUGAUGAAUAGAUAUAGGAUUAAUUCCAAGAAAUAUUUUGUUUUUCGCCAUCCUUAAGAAGUUUACUAACUGUAUUUUACCUACAUACACUUGUAAUAGAUUGUCCUUGAUUUAGGAGUAUGUUUAUCCGUUCUUGUUCUUUGUCGCAACUUACAUUUCAGUUACAGCUAUGCUAGGGCUUUUUUUUUUUUUUUUUUUAAUCUUAGCUUUGUAGAAUAGCCAAUUAUUGUGCUAGUUUUGACUAGUACAAGUAACGUAAUAUUUCGUGAAUUUUUCUCUAUUUUGUUUAUAAUUUUACUUGAUAUAUUUUCGAAUUAAUACCAGUAUAAUGUCCUUUUUAUCUUUAAUUUCGUAUUCAUUGCCAUUACUGCAGAGGCUUAAUAAGCAUUAGUUAGCGUCUAUUUAUUAAUUUUUAUUUUUAUUUCUUUUUUUUUUUUUGUAACCGUGUGGGUUUUUGGGUUUAGUUCUACUGCGCGGCAAUUUGGCCGACGAAAACCUUGUGAAUGAACUUAAUAAACAGAAAUUGAAAAGAAGAAGCUCGUCGUAUGUGUGUACAUAUAUAUAUCUGUGUGUGUGUGUGUGUGUGUGUGUCUUUUGUGUUUAUGUUAUGUUUGUCACCCACUACCGCUGGCCAACCGGUGUUGGUUAGUUUCUGCCCGUAUACUUAGCGGUUCGACUGAGAGCCUGAUGGAAUGAGUACUGUUCGACUAAACCCUCCAAUGUUGUACUUCGGUAUGGCUGCUAUACAAUGACUGAAAACGAUAAAAGAUAGUGAGUUUUAGGUAUAAGUCAUUUUUGGGCUUCAUAUAGAUCAUAUUCACUUUUUUUAUUUUAUGUUGCUUUUGGUUUUGGAAUAGUACAUGCCUUGAGUUUUGUAGGGACCCUCUUCUUUCACAAGUACAUUAAUUUUUCUGUGUUUUCUCUGUUAUUUUUUUUUAUGUCCUAUAAUUCCCAGACAGCAUUUUAUUUAUUCAUUUAUUUAUUGACACUUUGGACACAGGUUUGUACGGAAACUGUAAUGGUUUCCAAUGCAGCCACUAAUGACGAGAUAUCUGCGUCUAUUUAGACGGGUUAAUACUCACCCAUUUUUUGCUUAUGAACCCCACUCCCACCCUUUGAUUCCUAUUUUGCUUUACUGGAUCGCCAUAGCCAUACAACGUAUCUAAAAAAUUCAAAUAUUAUUAGGAAUUGUAUUUGAACAACGUUCGAACAUUUUGCGUACUGUAGAAGUAUAAACGAUUUAUUGCAGAUAAAUUUUAACAACAAAAUCUUGUAUGGACCCCGGUAGAGAGCCACGAACAGUUAUCUUGACGCUUAUCAAACCGUUUGUAGUGUUCCCCCGUUCUGGUUCGUUCAUUUUGGUCUUUAUUGUAGUUUUGUAUCCAGCAUAUGAGUAUUAUCUCCAUUUGUAGCUCUUAUUAUUUAUGGUUUUCCCUCAUUAUCUCUGACAUGGGAUUAGGUCUCGUUUAAUUUCUUCUCUUGUCUCUUAUUUUUCGUUCUACGGUUUAUCAAUGUCUUAUAGGUAACUACACCUGGAUUAAUGUUUUGGUUUCCUAUUUAUGCUGGUUGGCCAAAUUCAGUAGUUUUCAGGAUUUGUUACGUUAGGCAUUCAACUAAGCCAUGUUAGAUUUGUAAUGUGUAUGUGUGUGCGUGUGUGUGUUAUAUUUAUAUAUAUGUAUAUACUGUUAUAUAACUAUCCGUUAACAUCGCAACUAUUAUGAACUUCCCAUAUUCGAGACAAUUCCUGACUUCCUACAAUCCACUCUUAUUCACAUAUAUAUAUUAUAUAUAUAUUUGCAAUUUGCAUUUUUUGUCAAUAUGCUAUAUAAGUAAAGAUAUGUUAUGAACUGAUUUCAUACCUGUUGACUUACUGUCCAUAUAAUUUUGUUCUGUUAUGCACAUACCAGCUCGAUCAUUAUGUUACCUAUAGUCAAUCCUCAUUUAACCUGCUAUCACAUCCCUGCAGAAGCUGAAGUUUGGGUACAAAUUCAAACUGAACACGAAUUAUCUAAUAUCGAACUGAUAUUAUCAAAUUCGAACUGAGCACUGAUUAUCUAAUACCAUUGACAUCUUAUUACGAACAGUAUAUGUGUGCGUAUGUAUAUUAUAUAUAUAUAUAUAUAUAUAUAUAUGUGUGUGUGUAUGUGUGUGUGUAUUAUAUGCAUGUACAUACAUGAUUAUAUAUAUAUAUAUAUAUAUAUAUAUAUAUAUAUAUAUUUAAAUCCAUGUAUAUGUAUACAUAUAGAGCAGACAGACAUGUAUGUAUGCAUGAGGUAUGUAUGAAAUAUGUUGGUGUGUGCGUGAAAAACUGAAAGCAUUUCUUCGGUUUACACUGUAGAUUGUUUUCAAGUAUCGAUUGAAAAAGAACAAACAAAAUUUGAACAAUUAUCUAUUGACAUGGGAAUAAAUACUAUUAUCGUAUAUAUAUAUAUAUAUAUAACGUAUGUGUAUGAACAAACAUAUUUACGUUAUACACAUAAUAGCACAUUGAUGCCUGUCCUAACAAUGGUUUUUAUUUUGUAUCCAAGAUAGGAGGUUAUCUUGUUUCUAUAAUGUGACUAUUUAUGGAUGAUGUUUGUUUUGAAGGUUCAGGGCCUUUAUUAGAUCGGCUCUGAUAUUUUCCUAUUUCUUUUUUGAAUAUUCUAACAGUUGCUUCGCUACGUUUAUUUAGAAUGAAGUGUUUCUUCUCAGUUUCUCUUUUGGACACAUUGCGUUUUGAGGUUGAUUUUGAUUGAGAUAAUCUAAAUUUCAUUUUCCAGAGAAAUGGACUUUCCAGACAUUUGACACUACUAUUCAAUCUUGAAAAUAUUUAUCAAAAAUGUAUCUUUUAUCUUUUACUUGUUUCAUUCAUUUGACUGUGGCCAUGCUGGAGCACCGCCUUUAGCAUAUUGACCCCCCCCCCCCAGGACUUAUUCCUUGUAAGCCUAGUACUUAUUAUAUCGGUCUCUUUUGAUUAACCGCUAAGUUACGGGGACGUAAACACAUCAGCAUCGGUUGUCAAGAGGUAUUGGGGGGACAGACACACACACACACACAUAUAUAUAUAUAUAUACGAUGGGCUUCUUUCAGUUUCCAUCUACUAAAUCUACUCACAAGGUCGACCCGGGGCUAUAGUAGAAGACACUUUCACUAUCGAAGAAGUGAUACAGUAGUGAAAAUGAAAAUCUAAAGCAGAAAUGAUGAACUGGUAUUUUCGAGUCCUCAUCAUAAUCCUUGUUUGCUUGACCAGACAGAUUUUCUGUGGCAAGGUGCACUUCCCGUAAUAUGUAUCCACGGCAAUAUUUUCCAUAGCCGAACAUGUUUCCCCUCACGGAAGAUGGAAAACGAAGGACACCGCAAUCGCGCACGCACACACACACACACACACAAACACACACACACACAUGAUGCUGGAAAUCAAAUUCUCGAUGUUGCUUGUUACAGCUGAAGCUACAUUUCAGUGUUAUUUUUAAAAAGUUUGUGUUAGUUUUGGCGGAAAGUCAUCGUGUGUAUACGUGUGUGUGUGUACACACACAUAUAGGUAUUAUGGUGAUGCAAUGCAAACAGGAAAAAUACAACUCAAAAAACUCUUUUACUUGUUUCAGUCAUUUGACUGUGGCCAUGCUGGAGCACCGCCUUUAGUCAAGCAAAUCGAUUUAUUCUUUGUAAGCCUAGUACUUAUUCUAUUGGUCUCUUAUUGCCGCCGAACCGCUAAGUUACGGGAACGUAAACACACCAGCAUCGGUUGU
rnacentral:lncRNA from 1 species